ACGUAGGAGGCGAGCGUUAUCCGGAUUUACUGGGUGUAAAGCGCGUGCAGGCGGAACGGCAAGUUGGAUGUAAAAGCUCCCGGCUUGACUCGGAGAGGUCGUUCAAAACUAUUGAUCUAGAGUAGUGCAGAGGGAAGCGGAAUUCCCGGUGUAGGGGUGGAAUGCGUAGAUAUCGGGAGGAACACCAGUGGCGAAGGCGGCAUACUGGGCAGUAACUGACGCUGAGGCUCGAAAGUGUGGGUAGCAAACAG
rnacentral:rRNA from 1 species